rnacentral:tRNA from 10 species
GGAGGUUUAGCUCAGUUGGGAGAGCGUCUGCCUUACAAGCAGAGGGUCAGCGGUUCGAGCCCGUUAACCUCCACCA